rnacentral:rRNA from 1 species
AGAACGAACGCUGGCGGCAUGCCUAACACAUGCAAGUCGAACGGGAUCCAGACUUCGGUCUGGUGAGAGUGGCGGACGGGUGAGUAACGCGUGGGAACCUGCCCAAUGGUCUGGGAUAACCGCGGGAAACUGCGGCUAAUACCGGAUAAGCCCGAGAGGGGAAAGAUUUAUCGCCGAUGGAGGGGCCCGCGUCCGAUUAGGUAGUUGGUGAGGUAAUGGCUCACCAAGCCUUCGAUCGGUAGCUGGUCUGAGAGGAUGAUCAGCCACACUGGGACUGAGAUACGGCCCAGACUCCUACGGGAGGCAGCAGUGGGGAAUAUUGGACAAUGGGGGCAACCCUGAUCCAGCAAUGUCGCGUGAGUGAUGAAGGCCUUAGGGUUGUAAAGCUCUUUUGCCAGGGAAGAUGAUGACUGUACCUGGAGAAUAAGCCCCGGCUAACUUCGUGCCAGCAGCCGC